rnacentral:rRNA from 2 species
AGGGAAAAAAAAAACUUCUUGGGUAUUGAUUGGUGCUUGCAUCAUGAUUUACAUUUGAGUGAGUGGCGAACUGGUGAGUAACACGUGGGAAACCUGCCCAGAAGCGGGGGAUAACACCUGGAAACAGAUGCUAAUACCGCAUAACAACUUGGACCGCAUGGUCCGAGCUUGAAAGAUGGCUUCGGCUAUCACUUUUGGAUGGUCCCGCGGCGUAUUAGCUAGAUGGUGGGGUAACGGCUCACCAUGGCAAUGAUACGUAGCCGACCUGAGAGGGUAAUCGGCCACAUUGGGACUGAGACACGGCCCAAACUCCUACGGGAGGCAGCAGUAGGGAAUCUUCCACAAUGGACGAAAGUCUGAUGGAGCAACGCCGCGUGAGUGAAGAAGGGUUUCGGCUCGUAAAACUCUGUUGUUAAAGAAGAACAUAUCUGAGAGUAACUGUUCAGGUAUUGACGGUAUUUAACCAGAAAGCCACGGCUAACUACGUGCCAGCAGCCGCGGUAAUACGUAGGUGGCAAGCGUUGUCCGGAUUUAUUGGGCGUAAAGCGAGCGCAGGCGGUUUUUUAAGUCUGAUGUGAAAGCCUUCGGCUCAACCGAAGAAGUGCAUCGGAAACUGGGAAACUUGAGUGCAGAAGAGGACAGUGGAACUCCAUGUGUAGCGGUGAAAUGCGUAGAUAUAUGGAAGAACACCAGUGGCGAAGGCGGCUGUCUGGUCUGUAACUGACGCUGAGGCUCGAAAGUAUGGGUAGCAAACAGGAUUAGAUACCCUGGUAGUCCAUACCGUAAACGAUGAAUGCUAAGUGUUGGAGGGUUUCCGCCCUUCAGUGCUGCAGCUAACGCAUUAAGCAUUCCGCCUGGGGAGUACGGCCGCAAGGCUGAAACUCAAAGGAAUUGACGGGGGCCCGCACAAGCGGUGGAGCAUGUGGUUUAAUUCGAAGCUACGCGAAGAACCUUACCAGGUCUUGACAUACUAUGCAAAUCUAAGAGAUUAGACGUUCCCUUCGGGGACAUGGAUACAGGUGGUGCAUGGUUGUCGUCAGCUCGUGUCGUGAGAUGUUGGGUUAAGUCCCGCAACGAGCGCAACCCUUAUUAUCAGUUGCCAGCAUUAAGUUGGGCACUCUGGUGAGACUGCCGGUGACAAACCGGAGGAAGGUGGGGAUGACGUCAAAUCAUCAUGCCCCUUAUGACCUGGGCUACACACGUGCUACAAUGGAUGGUACAACGAGUUGCGAACUCGCGAGAGUAAGCUAAUCUCUUAAAGCCAUUCUCAGUUCGGAUUGUAGGCUGCAACUCGCCUACAUGAAGUCGGAAUCGCUAGUAAUCGCGGAUCAGCAUGCCGCGGUGAAUACGUUCCCGGGCCUUGUACCCCCCUGCUCUUGUCGACACCCAUGCAGUAAG